CAAGAAAACAAAAACACCUGCAGAAGAACAACCCAAGGGAAAAACAAAGUCACCAAAGAAGGAACAUUCAGAAACUGAUAGAGCCAAAGGUGAGGUUGGUGCUGCCUCCACUAAAAAAGCUGUACCUGGAAAGAAGGAAGAGAAAAC